UUGUACCCUGGUAGUCCACGCUGUAAACGAUGUCGACUUGGAGGUUGUUCCCUUGAGGAGUGGCUUCCGGAGCUAACGCGUUAAGUCGACCGCCUGGGGAGUACGGCCGCAAGGUUAAAACUCAAAUGAAUUGACGGGGGCCCGCACAAGCGGUGGAGCAUGUGGUUUAAUUCGAUGCAACGCGAAGAACCUUACCUACUCUUGACAUCCAGAGAACUUAGCAGAGAUGCUUUGGUGCCUUCGGGAACUCUGAGACAGGUGCUGCAUGGCUGUCGUCAGCUCGUGUUGUGAAAUGUUGGGUUAAGUCCCGCAACGAGCGCAACCCUUAUCCUUUGUUGCCAGCGAUUCGGUCGGGAACUCAAAGGAGACUGCCAGUGAUAAACUGGAGGAAGGUGGGGAUGACGUCAAGUCAUCAUGGCCCUUACGAGUAGGGCUACACACGUGCUACAAUGGCAUAUACAAAGAGAAGCGACCUCGCGAGAGCAAGCGGACCUCAUAAAGUAUGUCGUAGUCCGGAUUGGAGUCUGCAACUCGACUCCAUGAAGUCGGAAUCGCUAGUAAUCGUGGAUCAGAAUGCCACGGUGAAUACGUUCCCGGGCCUUGUACACACCGCCCGUCACACCAUGGGAGUGGGUUGCAAAAGAAGUAGGUAGCUUAACCUUCUG
rnacentral:rRNA from 1 species